CAUUCUUUCAUAACACACACACUGAUUUAUUUGAAAACACAUUGAAUUCUCUGCAUUCUCAAUAGAAAACUCUUGCAUUUUCCUUUUCAAUUCCUGCAUUAAUAGUAGAAAAAACACACAUAGAAUUCCUAAGAUAUCUCAAGUUUGAAGUUUGAUUCUGGAGCUGUUCUUUGUUAUUAUUUGUUUGCUGCUGCUGUUUUUGGAUUGCUGAGCUUUGCCCUUCUGGUUUUCUGACCUUUAUUUGGUCUUGUUAAGUGCUGUUUUCUGCAUCUAGUGACCAUUGAGCAUUGUUUGAGUUAAGGACAUGGAAUCAGCCCACAGCAACCCAUGUGUAAAUCAGAGUAAGUCAUGAUUGCAUCAGGAACAUGUAAGGUGAGAAUCUGGCAAAUGGAGUAAGAUCCAGGAGAUUGAUUCUAUGGGAGAGGGCUCAGCUGAAAUAGAACCAGCUCUAAUAAAGUUUUAGACAAUUUCAUUUAGUUUUUUUUUUGUCUUGUUAGGAAAAUUUGAUUAAUGGACAGUUUGUUGUAACCUUAAGCUCCAUUGUAUUGAGUUUUGGAAAUAUGUGUUUAGAUAUAUUAAGUGAUAAUUACAGUGGUUGUCACGGUUUAUUUUAAUUCAUUAAUGGCAUGUAGAUUAAUAUUAGGGAAAAACUUUGUAAAUCCUACUACAUUUAGCAUCGUGUGAAAUUCUUGCGAACUCUUUAGUACUUGUAAUUAAUUAAACUGUUAACUAGUAGUUUUUUUUUUCCUAA